AUUAUAUAUAUAUAUAUAGAGAGAGAGAGAGAGAGAGAGUGAGUGGGCUGGUAUGCUUCUGGAAGCACAGAGCCCUCUGUGCUUCCAAGUUGUUUUCGAUGUUCGGACUUUUGAAUCGACGAUUGGCUCCGUUAGAGUUGAUCUAGAAUAUUUGAAGUAUCUAGAAAAUAAAUUUUGUGAUUUUUUGAUAUCAUUUGCGUAGUGAUCGAAGGGGCUCAAGAUCAAUAAUUUUAACUGUCGUGGUGAGUCGUUUGCAAGUUUAACGGUGUAGAAAUAUUCAAAUCAUAUGAAAUUUUGAUAGAAAAUUUUUUAUACCAUAUAAAACAAGAUCAAUAACUUUAAUCUAAAAUUUUAAUGUCAUAUCAUCAUAUUUUGUAACAUUUUUAUUUUCAACCGUUGAUUUUGAGCCAUUUCGAUCACUAGGCAAAUGAUAUCGAAAAAUCGCAAAAUUUAUUUUCUAGAUACUUCAAAUACUCUAGAUCAAGUCUAACGGAGCCGAUCGUCGAUUCGAUAGUCCGAACAUCGAAAAUAAUUUGGAAGCACGGAACGCUCUGUGCUUCCAGAAGCAUACCAACGCACUCAUAUAUAUAUAUAUAUAUAUA
rnacentral:lncRNA from 1 species